rnacentral:rRNA from 1 species
UACGUAGGGUGCAAGCGUUAAUCGGAAUUACUGGGCGUAAAGCGUGCGCAGGCGGUUAUGCAAGACAGAUGUGAAAUCCCCGGGCUCAACCUGGGAACUGCAUUUGUGACUGCAUGGCUAGAGUACGGGUAGAGGGGGAUGGAAUUCCGCGUGUAGCAGUGAAAUGCGUAGAUAUGCGGAGGAACACCGAUGGCGAAGGCAAUCCCCUGGACCUGUACUGACGCUCAUGGCACGAAAGCGUGGGGAGCAAACAGG